rnacentral:rRNA from 1 species
UGGGGAAUAUUGCACAAUGGGGGAAACCCUGAUGCAGCGACGCCGCGUGAACGAAGAAGGUAUUCGUAUCGUAAAGUUCUGUCCUAUGGGAAGAUAAUGACAGUACCAUAGAAGAAAGCUCCGGCUAAAUACGUGCCAGCAGCCGCGGUAAUACGUAUGGAGCGAGCGUUGUCCGGAAUUAUUGGGCGUAAAGCGAGCGCAGGCGGUCAAUUAAGUCUGAUGUGAAAGCCCCCGGCUCAACCGGGGAGGGUCAUUGGAAACUGGUUGACUUGAGUGCAGAAGAGGAGAGUGGAAUUCCAUGUGUAGCGGUGAAAUGCGUAGAUAUAUGGAGGAACACCAGUGGCGAAGGCGACUCUCUGGUCUGUAACUGACGCUGAGGCUCGAAAGCGUGGGUAGCAAACAGG